AGAAUCUGUCUUCAAGAAGCUGAGAAAAGCAGAAACCUGGGAAUUAAUGGAUUCAGUGUUGUAAAUGAAAUCCUGACAGUUGUCAUGAAACCUUCUGCCAUGUCUCCAAUAUUUUAUUAGUAGGGAAAUGAUGAAAAUGAAUGGAUCAGACGGACAAAAGCAGUUGAGAGUAUGGCCU